AGUCGAGCGAGUCCCUUCGGGGGCUAGCGGCGGACGGGUGAGUAACGCGUGGGGAAA
rnacentral:rRNA from 1 species